CUAACUUGUGGUAGAGUUAUAAUAAAUAAAUAUAUAAAUAAUACUAAUUCUAAGGUUAAGUUUUAUACUAAUAUAAUUUUAAAUUAAUUAGGAUUAUAUAUUUCCAAAUCCGAUAUUUUUAGUAGGUAUAAUAAGUCUACCGUUUGUUACAUAUUGAUGUACUGUCACAUGUAAACACUAGUUAUAUUAAUACACAUUAAUAUACUGUAUAGUUAAUGGUGUAUGAGGAGUAUGGUGUAUAGAGGAGUAUGUAGCUCGUGUGUGUGUAACAUAGUGUAGUUGGCGUCCUGCAGCGUGAGGUCAGACAUUACACGUGUCGUCCUAGUAACUGGUAGACUGUCAACUCAAGCUCUCCUCUCAGUCUAAGUGGAACUCUAUAUAUAUCUAAGAAACAAGAAGUAACUGUUAACUGUUACUGCCAGCUCAGUUUCUUCUCGGUCUAAAUGGAUAGCAGGAACAUCUAUUAGUAAACUCCUUUUAUACACGGAAUAAGGCAAUGUUUUGGGUUCUAUAUUGAAGUGUUUAACUCUAUCUAGUUUCUUGUACUGUACAUAGAGGAACGAGAAGUCUUCCUCGUGUGUGUGUGUGUGUGUGUGUGUGUGUGUGUGUCCUCGCCUCUCAUACUUAUGUAAAGACAGACCCACGCUGAUUCGGGUUGAAUGUUAUUAAUACCAGGUUUGGAUCGAAUGUAAACAACAGUUGAUGUAAACAACAAGUGAUGUAAACAAAUGAUAUAAACUUAUUAACUAUCUCUUAUUUUACUAUGCACUGUCAGGGUGCGGUGGAGGACACGGAGUGUUGACUGGUUGUUGCUUCUAUUAAUACACUGGUUCGAUCCCCUCCUUCCCUUCCUCUUUGUCUUGGCAUUAUCCACAAUUUGAUCUCUUCCACUCCUCCUUUUUUCUCUUCCUAUUCCUCCUCCUUAUCCUUUUUAUAAUCUUUUUCCUCCCCUCUUUUUCUUCGUUACAAUACACGACACAACAUGUUCCAACAUGUUACGACACGUCACGACGACACGACAUGUUCCGACAUGUUACGACACGUCACGACGACACGACACGACACGAAACGACACGACACGACAGGAAACGACAGAACACGACACAGAGACUUUCACACUCUGACCACUUGCUCUUUAACUCUCAUUUACAAUAAAUCUUUAGUUUUAACUUGACAAAUUUGUGGGUUUAGAUGAACUGCUUCCAGGAACUGAUGUUUAUGUUGGUAACACUGAAACUCUAGGAACUGAUGCUUAUGUUGGUAACACUGAGACUAACUUGUGGUAGAGUUAUAAUAAAUAAAUAUAUAAAUAAUACUAAUUCUAAGGUUAAGUUUUAUACUAAUAUAAUUUUAAAUUAAUUAGGAUUAUAUAUUUCCAAAUCCGAUAUUUUUAGUAGGUAUAAUAAGUCUACCGUUUGUUACAUAGUGAUGUACUGUCACAUGUAAACACUAGUUAUAUUAAUACACAUUAAUAUACUGUAUAGUUAAUGGUGUAUGAGGAGUAUGGUGUAUAGAGGAGUAUGUAGCUCGUGUGUGUGUAA